rnacentral:rRNA from 1 species
UACGGGGGGGGGCAAGCGUUGUUCGGAAUUACUGGGCGUAAAGGGCUCGUAGGUGCCAGCUAACUAGUCAGACGUGAAAUCCCUCGGCUUAACCGGGGAACUGCUCUGAUACUGGAUGGCUUGAGUUCGGGAGAGGGAUGCGGAAUUCCAGGUGUAGCGGUGAAAUGCGCAGAUAUCAAGAGGAACACCUGCGGCGAAGGCGGGUUGCUGGGCUGACACUGACGCUGAUGCGCGAAAGCCAGGGGAGCGAACGGG